UCGCGGCUUAUCACCGGCAGUCCCCUUAGAGUGCCCAACUGAAUGAUGGCAACUAAGGGCGAGGGUUGCGCUCGUUGCGGGACUUAACCCAACAUCUCACGACACGAGCUGACGACAGCCACGCAGCACCUGUCUCCGGUCCAGCCGAACUGAAGAGUUCCAUCUCUGGUACUCGCGACCGGGAUGUCAAAGGCUGGUAAGGUUCUUCGCGUUGCUUCGAAUUGAACCACAUGCUCCACCGCUUGUGCGGGCCCCCGUCAAUUCCUUUGAGUUUUAAUCUUGCGACCGUACUCCCCAGGCGGGAUGCUUAAUGCGUUAGCUCCGGCACGAACGAAAUGAAUCGCUCACACCAAGUAUGCAUCGUUUAGGGCGUGGACUAC
rnacentral:misc_RNA from 1 species